rnacentral:rRNA from 1 species
GCUGGCGGCACGCCUAACACAUGCAAGUCGAACGAAGUAGCAAUACUUAGUGGCAGACGGGUGAGUAACAUGUAGGUAUCUGCCCUUUGGCCUGGAAUAACACGAGGAAACUUGUGCUAAUACCGGAUAAGUCUUUACGGAGAAAGCUUUAUGCACCAUUGGAUGAGCCUGCACUUGAUUAGUUUGUUGGUGGGGUAAUGGCCUACCAAGACUUUGAUCAAUAGCUGAUUUGAGAGGAUGAUCAGCCACAUUGGGACUGAGACACGGCCCAAACUCCUACGGGAGGCAGCAGUGGGGAAUCUUGCACAAUGGAGGAAACUCUGAUGCAGCGAUGCCGCGUGAGUGAAGAAGGCCCUUGGGUUGUAAAGCUCUUUCGUCGGGGAAGAAAAUGACUGUACCCGAAUAAGAAGGUCCGGCUAACUUCGUGCCAGCAGCCGCGGUAAUACGAAGGGACCUAGCGUAGUUCGGAAUUACUGGGCUUAAAGAGUUCGUAGGUGGUUGAAAUAGUUGGUGGUGAAAUCCCAGAGCUUAACUCUGGAACUGCCAUCAAAACUUUUCAGCUAGAGUAUGAUAGAGGAAAGCAGAAUUUCUAGUGUAGAGGUGAAAUUCGUAGAUAUUAGAAAGAAUACCAAUUGCGAAGGCAGCUUUCUGGAUCAUUACUGACACUGAGGAACGAAAGCAUGGGUAGCGAAGAGGAUUAGAUACCCUCGUAGUCCAUGCCGUAAACGAUGUGUGUUAGACGUUGGAAAUUUAUUUUCAGUGUCGCAGCGAAAGCGAUAAACACACCGCCUGGGGAGUACG